UAGAGUAUUCAGCAUGCAACGUGU
rnacentral:piRNA from 1 species